UACGGAGGAUCCGAGCGUUAUCCGGAUUUAUUGGGUUUAAAGGGUGCGUAGGCGGUUUGAUAAGUUAGAGGUGAAAUGUCGGGGCUCAACCCCGAGACUGCCUCUAAUACUGUUGGACUAGAGAAUAGUUGCGGUAGGCGGAAUGUAUGGUGUAGCGGUGAAAUGCUUAGAGAUCAUACAGAACACCGAUUGCGAAGGCAGCUUACCAAACUAUAUCUGACGUUGAGGCACGAAAGCGUGGGUAGCAAACAGG
rnacentral:rRNA from 1 species